GACGAACCGUGCGAACGUUGUUCGGAAUCACUGGGCAUAAAGGGCGCGUAGGCGGCUUAUCAAGUCAGGGGUGAAAUCCGGCAGCUUAACUGUCGAAGUGCCUUUGAUACUGACGAGCUCGAGGGAGAUAGGGGUGUGUGGAACUUCCGGUGGAGCGGUGAAAUGCGUUGAUAUCGGAAGGAACGCCGGUGGCGAAAGCGACACACUGGAUCUCUUCUGACGCUGAGGCGCGAAAGCGUGGGUAGCAAACAGG
rnacentral:rRNA from 1 species